rnacentral:rRNA from 1 species
CGGGACGGGUGAGUAACGCGUGGGUAACCUACCCUGUACACACGGAUAACAUACCAAAGGUAUGCUAAUACAGGAUAAUAUAUUUGAGAGGCAUCUCUUGAAUAUCAAAGGUGAGCCAGUACAGGAUGGACCCGCGUCUGAUUAGCUAGUUGGUAAGGUAACGGCUUACCAAGGCGACGAUCAGUAGCCGACCUGAGAGGGUGAUCGGCCACAUUGGAACUGAGACACGGUCCAA